rnacentral:tRNA from 1 species
GCCGAAGUGGCGGAACUGGUAGACGCGCUGGUCUCAAAAUCCAGUGGAUUUUAUCCGUGCGGGUUCGAGUCCCGCCUUCGGUA